GAUGAACGCUGGCGGCAUGCCUUACACAUGCAAGUCGAACGGCAGCACGGGUGCUUGCACCUGGUGGCGAGUGGCGAACGGGUAAGUAAUACAUCGGAACGUACCUUAUCGUGGGGGAUAACGCAGCGAAAGCUGUGCUAAUACCGCAUACGCCCUGAGGGGGAAAGCGGGGGAUCGCAAGACCUCGCGCGAUUAGAGCGGCCGAUGCCUGAUUAGCUUGUUGGUGGGGUAAAAGCCCACAAAGGGGACGAUCAGGAGCUGGUCUGUGAGGACGAUCAGCAACACUGGGACUGAGACACGGCCCAGACUCCUACGGGAGGCAGCAGUGGGGAAUUUUGGACAAUGGGGGCAACCCUGAUCCAGCAAUGCCGCGUGAGUGAAGAAGGCCUUCGGGUUGUAAAGCUCUUUCGUCAGGGAAGAAACAGCAGCUCUAACACAGUUUGCGAAUGACGGUACCUGAAGAAUAAGCACCGGCUAACUACGUGCCAGCCGCCGCCGUAA
rnacentral:rRNA from 1 species